rnacentral:rRNA from 1 species
UACGAAGGGGGGCAAGCGUUGUUCGGAAUCACUGGGCGUAAAGGGCGCGUAGGCGGCUCAUGAAGGCUGUGGUGAAAGUCCGGGGCUCAACCUCGGAUCGGCCGUGGCGACUCGUGGGCUGGAGCACUGUAGAGGCGGGUGGAAUUCCGGGUGUAGCGGUGGGAAUGCGUAGAUAUUCGCAAGAACACCAGUGGCGAAGGCGGCUUACUGGUCCGGUUCUGACGCUGAGGCGGCGAAAGCGUGGGGAGCAAACAGG